rfam:Stegodyphus mimosarum contig71034, whole genome shotgun sequence.
GCCUUCGUGGUGUAGUGGUCAGCACGCUCGACGCAUAUUCGAGUGGUCCGUAGUUCGAGUCCCGGCGUGGGCA